AGAACGAACGCUGGCGGCAGGCUUAACACAUGCAAGUCGAACGGUUGUAGCAAUACAGCAGUGGCAGACGGGUGAGUAACUCGUGGGAACCUUCCUAGGGGUACGGAACAACUCAGGGAAACUUGAGCUAAUACCGUAUACGUCCGUGAGGAGAAAGUUUUAACGCCCCUAGACGGGCCCGCGUAGGAUUAGGUAGUUGGUGAGGUAACGGCUCACCAAGGCGACGACCAGUAGCUGGUCUGAGAGGAUGAUCAGCCUCACUGGGACUGAGACACGGCCCAGACUCCUACGGGAGGCAGCAGUGGGGAAUAGUUGGACAAUGGGCGCAAGCCUGAUCCAGCCAUGCCGCGUGAUGAUGAAGGCCCUAGGGUUGUAAGUCCGUUCGGCGGGAAGAUAAGUGACGGUACCGCGAGAAGACGCCCGGCUAACUCCGCGCC
rnacentral:rRNA from 1 species